ACUAUUUUGGCAGAACAAGUGCAGUAGAUUUAGAAUCUAAUUAUGUAAAUAUUUUACAAAUAGUA
rnacentral:tRNA from 1 species